rnacentral:rRNA from 1 species
UACAGAGGUCUCAAGCGUUGUUCGGAUUCAUUGGGCGUAAAGGGUGCGUAGGUGGCGAGGCAAGUCAGAUGUGAAAUCCCCGGGGCUCAACCCCGGAACUGCAUUUGAAACUGCCUUGCUCGAGUACUGGAGAGGAGACUGGAAUUUACGGUGUAGCAGUGAAAUGCGUAGAGAUCGUAAGGAAGACCAGUGGCGAAGGCGAGUUUCUGGACAGUAACUGACGCUGAGGCACGAAGGCCAGGGGAGCAAACGGG